rnacentral:lncRNA from 1 species
CUCUUUUCCCCUCGGCUCCUGCUCCAGCGGCACGAUGUGAUCCACCAGCUAGGAGGGACGCCAAUAAGGCGUCCGAUAAGCAGAUUGUCCAAUGAUUUCCAUUUUAUCUACCUUCCCUUCUCUCAGCAACAGUCCUAAGGUCCAGUAACUAACCAAAGGCAGGAAGCCAAAGCAAAGGACAGCGAGAAAGGUCAACAUGAAGGAUCUGAGUACAAUCAUUAGAGAAAUGAUAUCUGAAAGUAAUCAUGGCUUCUUAAGGAAACUCCGUUUGUUGACAAAAUCCCUGGGUGUAAAGUAUUUGUGGAUGAAGUAGUUGAAAGGCAUCUAAUAUUUGACAGUAGAAACUUAAAUCAAAUCCCAUUUAAAUCAGAUGCCAGCACCCUGCCUGGGCACAGAUUCUUCUGCAGAGCAAAGGAAUGCAUGAUGACAGCGUAACGAACAUGUUUUAACAGUGGCAUGUCACUUUAUCAUGGCUUUGAAAUGACUAAGAAGCAGACUAAUGUGAUGAUUAGAAGGAAGGCUCAAUAUGACAAAACUGUGGAACAGUUUCCUCACAUCAUCCCUUUGAGACACGUGGGUGGCACAUAUCACCUGUGUUUUAGAGAUGGUAAGAUGAAACAGUUUAUGCACUGGGAGACAUCUCACUGACAUUUUGAUUUUUAAAGAGUUGUAGAGUUUCUUUUAAUAGAUCUCUAAUAGUUACUAUAUCAGCUGUGGUCUCCUGUGAUAUUUCUGAGUAACAUCACAUAUGAGGUUGGUGAGAGUCAGGUUUUUCACUCUGCCAUCUUUCCCCUAAACACAUUAGUUACUAAAGUGGCAAACAAAAAUAGAAAUGCUAUUUCUAGUUCUGUCAAGAGAAUUUAUUAGUUUCAGAGAUCCUUUCAGGGCUUUUAUAACUCAUUCAUCUUAUCAGCUCUAAGCCAUUCAUCCUAUCUUCUGUAAGCUAUUCAUCAGAUCAUUGGCACCUAUGUAAUUGAAAUAAACUGGUUGCUAAAACAUUUGCGAUGUGCAUGUUUUAGUUAAUUUUCAAUUAAAAGGUUAUGAUACCUGCUGAAGGA